GCGGGGCCUCGGACCCCGCCCUCCGCCUUCCCCGGGAUUCCGUGCUGUGCGGGCCGGGCGCUGGCGUUGGAUUGAGUUCUGUGAGUUGACUGGGCAUUCUGCAUCACAAGGUGUGGCUGGGCACUGGAACAGCCGAAGUCACCUGGGAGCUGACUGGGUUGGACUGUCCAGGAUGGUUCACUCCUACGACAGUGGAUGCUCAACUGGGGCUGUCAACUGGAGCCCCCAUAGUGCCUUUGUGAACAUGGGGGUCCCCAAGUUUUCAGCGGGUGAAGCCAGCAGGCAACAGCUCACACUGGCAUUUUGUCAGUCGGGCACCUUUAUCUUGGCAUUUGGGCUUCCAUCCAGGCUGCCUCAGCUCUUUUGAAUGAACAUGGCCUGCAAAUAGUUCAUCCACAGAGCUGGCUUGGCAGGCGAAGGCUUCUCAGCCCAAGCAGGGGGCUCGAUCUGCCUGCUCUCCUUUCUGUGGCCUCGGAUCCAGCCCUCACUUCUUACCUCCACCAGAUUUGGAGUUUUCAGAGCUAACUGAGGCUUCGGGAAAAGUUCUGUGUUUGGACAAAGCUUUGCAAUAAGGCAGAUCUGGGUUUGAAUCAUCAAUUUAUUUAAUCCUGAAAACCUCAAUUUUAUCUGUAAAAUAAAGAUGAUAAUCAUAA
rnacentral:lncRNA from 1 species